rnacentral:rRNA from 1 species
UACGUAGGGAGCGAGCGUUAUCCGGAUUUAUUGGGUGUAAAGGGUGCGUAGAUGGAUAUACAAGUUGGUUGUGAAAUACCUCGGCUUAACUGAGGAACUGCAACCAAAACUGUAAAUCUUGAGUACUGGAGGGGAAAGCGGAAUUCCUAGUGUAGCGGUGAAAUGCGUAGAUAUUAGGAAGAACACCGGUGGCGAAGGCGGCUUUCUGGACAGAAACUGACAUUGAGGCACGAAAGUGUGGGGAGCAAACAGG